CCCCUGGUGGCCCAGAGGCUAAGACUCUGUGCUCCCAAUUCAGGGGCCCAGGUUCCAUCCCUGGUCAGGGAA
rnacentral:tRNA from 1 species